rnacentral:rRNA from 1 species
UACAGAGGGGGCGAGCGUUGUUCGGAAUUACUGGGCGUAAAGGGCGCGUAGGCGGCCAACUAAGUCAGACGUGAAAUCCCUCGACUCAACCGGGGAACUGCGUCUGAUACUGGAUGGCUUGAAUUCGGGAGAGGGAUGCGGAAUUCCAGGUGUAGCGGUGAAAUGCGUAGAUAUCUGGAGGAACACCGGUGGCGAAGGCGGCAUCCUGGACCGAGAUUGACGCUGAUGCGCGAAAGCCAGGGGAGCAAACGGG